UGCAGAGAAGCCAGGUAGUCCAGAAAGU
rnacentral:piRNA from 1 species